rnacentral:lncRNA from 10 species
CCGGGGCCCUCCGCGGCCUCUCUAGGAAACUGGGAGGCCCAACGUCUCUGCUUCUCUCCGGCUCCGGUGCGGCGGGCGGCGGGGCUUGUCCAACAUCCCUCACCUCCCUCAGUUGGACAUUUCCCUUCCACGCUCGGAUGCCCAGCCGCGCCUGUUUUCUUGCAUCCCUCCUGUCGUGUCUGCGGGGCUGCCCUGAAGGCCUCUUUCCCUCCAGGGAAGAAAGGGAUCCAAAGCUAGGGGUGAAAAUAGGGCCAGCAGUAUCUAGCAGACUGGUCCUGGCCAGGAGAAGGGGUUAAGGGAGCCACUCAUUCUUCGCCUGGGUACACUUCAAAGAGGGGAACCAGAUCCUACGGGAAGCUAGGUGCCAGAACUCCUGCCUUUCCAAGACGAGCUCAUCCCCAUCAUCACCAUACCCAGGAAUACUUGUUCAUAGCCAGCUCAGAGGUGCACCAUACUUUAGCUUCCCACGGCCUUCACUCGUUUUCUCCUGUGGGUGAAUUCUAACUAGGCUCGCCUGUCACCAAAGAUGGAAACAGAGAAUAGAUCCUGAACACCAGGAAGAUGGUGACAAGGUGAUAGAGAAACAGAUGGCACAUUCAAACAAGGACAAUGGAUCUCAUGAUCUCCCCACCAUGCACGUUGUGACCUCCUCCCCCUGCUGACAACAGAUGACCACCUUCAACUGUAACUUUCCACUGCCUACCCAAGUCCUGUAAAGUUGCCCCUCUCCUAUCUCCCUUCGCUGACUCUCUUUUUGGACUCAGCCCACUUGCACCCAAGUGAAUAAACAGC